rnacentral:rRNA from 1 species
AUUGAACGCUGGCGGCAGGCCUAACACCUGCAAGUCGAACGAGUGGCGGCCGGGUGAGUAAUGUCUGGUCAACUGCCUGAUGGCGUGGGAUCACUACUGGAAACUGUAGCUAAUACCGCCUACAUGCAGAUGUGCCCAGAUGGGAUUAGCUGGUUGUGGGGGUAACGGCUCACGAAGGGGACGAGCACUAGCUGGUCUGAUAGGAGGACCGUCCACACUGGAAAUGGGACAAGGUCCAGACUCCUACGGGAGGCAGCAGUGGGGAAUAGUGACCAACGGGAGAAAGCCUGAUGCAGCCAUGCCGCGGGUAUGAAGAAGGCCUUCGGGUUGUAAAGUACUUUCAGAGGUGAGGCGUUCCCCUCAGAAGAAGCACCGGCUAACUCCGUGCCAGCAGCCGCGGUAAUUC